UCCACGAUGGUGUAACGGUAACAUAGCUGGCUUUCAUUAGGAAGUCCUGAGUGCGCAACAUCACCCAGCAGCCCCGGGUUCAACUCCCGGUCGUGGAA
rfam:Cladophialophora yegresii CBS 114405 aczIN-supercont1.2, whole genome shotgun sequence.